CCUACGGGAGGCUGCAGUGAGGAAUAUUGGUCAAUGGGCGAGAGCCUGAACCAGCCAAGUCGCGUGAGGGAGUACUGCCCUAUGGGUUGUAAACCUCUUUUGUCGGGGAGCAAAAGCCGGACGUGUCCGGCUGUGAGAGUACCCGAAGAAAAAGCAUCGGCUAACUCCGUGACAGCAGCCGCGGUAAUACGGAGGAUGCGAGCGUUAUCCGGAUUGAUUGGGUUUAAAGGGAGCGUAGGUGGAUUGUUAAGUCAGUUGUGAAAGUUUGCGGCUCAACCGUAAAAUUGCAGUUGAUACUGGCAGUCUUGAGUACAGUAGAGGUGGGCGGAAUUCGUGGUGUAGCGGUGAAAUGCUUAGAUAUCACGAAGAACUCCGAUUGCGAAGGCAUCUCACGAAUCCGCGAUUGACGCUGAUGCACGAAAGCGUGGGUAUCAAACAGGAUUAGAUACCCGAGUAGUC
rnacentral:rRNA from 1 species